UACGUAGGGGGCAAGCGUUGUCCGGAUUUAUUGGGCGUAAAGAGCGUGUAGGCGGCCUUACAGGUCAGCUGUGAAAACUCGAGGCUCAACCUCGAGACGUCGGUUGAAACCGUAUGGCUAGAGUCCGGAAGAGGAGAGUGGAAUUCCCGGUGUAGCGGUGAAAUGCGCAGAUAUUGGGAAGAACACCAGUGGCGAAGGCGGCUAUCUGGACCGGUACUGACGCUGAGGCGCGAAAGCGUGGGGAGCAAACAGG
rnacentral:rRNA from 1 species